rnacentral:miRNA from 1 species
CGCCCCCCGGGCCGGGCUGGGCUGGGCUGGGCUGGGCAGGAGGUGGCGCGCGCCCUCCC